rnacentral:rRNA from 1 species
GACGAACGCUGGCGGCGUGCUUAACACAUGCAAGUCGAACGGAAAGGCCCUGCUUUUGUGGGGUGCUCGAGUGGCGAACGGGUGAGUAACACGUGAGUAACCUGCACUUGACUUUGGGAUAACUUCAGGAAACUGGGGCUAAUACCGGAUAGGAGCUCCUGCUGCAGGGUGGGGGUUGGAAAGUUUAGGCGGUUGGGGAUGGAAUCGCGGCUUAUCAGGUUGUUGGUUGGGUAGUGGCUUACCAAGGCUUUGACGGGUAGCCGGCCUGAGAGGGUGACCGGCCACAUUGGGCCUGAGAUACGGCCCAGACUCCUACGGGAGGCAGCAGUGGGGUAUAUUGCACUAUGGGCGGAAGCCUGAUGCAGCACCGCCGCGUGCGGUAUGACGGCAUUCGGGUUGUAAACCGCUUUCGCCUGUGACGAAGCGUGAGUGACGGUAAUGGGUAAAGAAGCACCGGCUAACUACGUG